UACGUAGGAGGCAAGCGUUGUCCGGAAUUACUGGGCGUAAAGCGCGUGUAGGUGGUGGGACAAGUCUGCUGUGAAAGCGCCUGGCUUAACCGGGCGAGGUCGGCGGAAACUGUUCGACUCGAGGACGGUAGAGGGGGGUGGAAUUCCCGGUGUAGUGGUGAAAUGCGUAGAUAUCGGAAGGAACACCAGUGGCGAAAGCGGCUUCCUGGUCCAGCACCGACGUUCAGGCACGAAAGCGUGGGGAGCAAACAGG
rnacentral:rRNA from 1 species